rnacentral:rRNA from 1 species
UACGGAGGGUGCGAGCGUUGUCCGGAAUCAUUGGGCGUAAAGGGCGCGUAGGUGGCCCGGUCAGUUCGUGGUGAAAGCGCGGGGCUCAACCCUGCGUCGGCCAUGAAUACUGCCGCGGCUGGAGCACUGUAGAGGCAGGCGGAAUUCCGGGUGUAGCGGUGGAAUGCGUAGAGAUCCGGAAGAACACCAGUGGCGAAGGCGGCCCGCUGGGCAGUGGCUGACGCUGAAGCGCGACAGCGUGGGGAGCAACAGG